rnacentral:rRNA from 1 species
AACGAACGCUGGCGGCAUGCCUAACACAUGCAAGUCGAACGAGAUCUUCGGGUCUAGUGGCGCGCGGGUGCGUAACGUGUGGGAAUCUGCCCUUUGGUUCGGAAUAACAGUUGGAAACGACUGCUAAUACCGGAUGAUGACGAAAGUCCAAAGAUUUAUCGCCAGAGGAUGAGCCCGCGUAGGAUUAGCUAGUUGGUGUGGUAAAGGCGCACCAAGGCGACGAUCCUUAGCUGGUCUGAGAGGAUGAUCAGCCACACUGGGACUGAGACACGGCCAAGACUCCUACGGGAGGCAGGAGUGGGGAAUAUUGGACAAUGGGCGAAAGCCUGAUCCAGCAAUGCCGCGUGAGUGAUGAAGGCCUUAGGGUUGUAAAGCUCUUUUACCCGGGAUGAUAAUGACAGUACCGGGAGAAUAAGCUCCGGCUAACUCCGUGCCAGCCGCCGCCGUAA